UUUCAUUUGAAGAAAAACCUCACUUUAACUUACUACCACAAUAUAUUCAUUCAAUGAGAACUGUCCACAACUAGAGAAAAUUUAUGUAGCCAAUUGCUGAACAAAAUGAAAGAAUACAGGAUAUAUGCAUUUUGCUCUGUGAGUGGAAACAAAACUAACACAAUUGUGCUCAAGAUCUGUUACUUUUUUCCCCAUAACUAAAACUUAUCCAACUUGGCCAGAAACAGCAAAAGUUUUCAAUGGAA
rnacentral:lncRNA from 1 species